CGGCGUCUGGCUCAGCGUGCGCGUGAGGUUCGCGCCCUCCGCGAGCGCGAGGCCGCGCUUCAAUCCGCGGUUAAACGCCGCGUGCGCCGA
rnacentral:tRNA from 1 species